AACGCACAUGGCGCCUUCCAGUAUCCUGGGAGGCAUGCCUGUCCGAGCGUCGUUUCAACCCUCGAGCCCCUGUGGCCCGGCGUUGGGGAUCUGCCACGGCAGGCCCCUAAAACCAGUGGCGGACCCGAUGGGCCCUCUCCUUUACGUAGUAGCAUUCGCCUCGUAUUGGGAGUCCUCGGCGUCCUGCCUCUAAACCCUCCACAAGUCCGCUUCAGCGGCACCAAGGUUGACCUCGGAUCAGGUAGGAAUACCCGCUGAACUUAA
rnacentral:misc_RNA from 1 species